rnacentral:rRNA from 1 species
CCUACGGGGGGCAGCAGUGGGGAAUAUUGGACAAUGGGCGAAAGCCUGAUCCAGCCAUGCCGCGUGUGUGAAGAAGGUCUUCGGAUUGUAAAGCACUUUAAGUUGGGAGGAAGGGCAGUAAGUUAAUGCCUUGCUGUUUUGACGUUACCGACAGAAUAAGCACCGGCUAACUUCGUGCCAGCAGCCGCGGUAAUACGAAGGGUGCAAGCGUUAAUCGGAAUUACUGGGCGUAAAGCGCGCGCAGGUGGUUCGUUAAGUUGGAUGUGAAAGCCCCGGGCUCAACCUGGGAACUGCAUCCAAAACUGGCGAGCUAGAGUACGGUAGAGGGUGGUGGAAUUUCCUGUGUAGCGGUGAAAUGCGUAGAUAUAGGAAGGAACACCAGUGGCGAAGGCGACCACCUGGACUGAUACUGACACUGAGGUGCGAAAGCGUGGGGAGCAAACAGGAUUAGAUACCCUUGUAGUC